rnacentral:rRNA from 1 species
UACAGAGGGGGCGAGCGUUGUUCGGAAUUACUGGGCGUAAAGGGCGCGUAGGCGGCCCGCUAAGUCGAACGUGAAAUCCCCAGGCUCAACCUGGGAACUGCGUCCGAUACUGGCAGGCUUGAAUCCGGGAGAGGGAUGUGGAAUUCCAGGUGUAGCGGUGAAAUGCGUAGAUAUCUGGAGGAACACCGGUGGCGAAGGCGGCAUCCUGGACCGGUAUUGACGCUGAGGCGCGAAAGCUAGGGGAGCGAACGGG